UCCAGGUUAUGCAAACUCAAAGGUGUGGGUGUGGGUGAGGGGGACGAUAUGCAAACUCCAAACCGAGCAAACAAAGCCAGCCGGCAGGAAAGGCACUGACUGGCAAACGUUUCACUCUGUAUUUGCCAUUCUCAGGACAUGAUGUAACCUCAGGUUGCCCAAUUUAUAUUUGCACAUUUUCCCCAGCGAGCUUCAAAACCUCCCAACUCCAUUAAAGUGCCUUUUUAAAAGUUCACGUCUGCAGCCCAAGAAGCCUGCACGACAGGCCGUGACCCGACGGUCACCUAGGCCCAACCAAGUGCGCUGAGAGGGUUUGGAGUUGCAAAGGUAGACUCGGAAGGGAGAAGGCGCAAACGCAGGCGGCGAGGAGCUUGACAGCCACGUUUGUACUUUUACCCUACCAUUCUCAGCCCACUUGAUUAGACACUGCCCAGGGCACCGUAUGGGCUUCACCUUUUCCCUGCCCUGCCUCCUGAGCCCCGCUGCUCUCCCCAAUCCAAAGGGCGCUCAUAAUGGUAAAAGGAAAAAAAAAAAAAAACCCACGUCUUCUAGCCCUCCUCCUCCGCUUCCUGGUACCUCCUGCCCCUCCUUCCACAUCCUAGCGGCCUCCUGGUCACCCGGUCGUUGGCUCCACCUUGCAGCACCCAACAAAAUGGCAGGUAGCAUCAGGCGAGGCCGAGAGCGCCGGCACCCGCUCCAGCCCAGCGUGGCCCCCGGCCAAACCGCCGGGGGUCUCUGACAGUACCCCAACUCCAAAGAGCCUUCUCCUCUCAGAGUCCCCAAUCCUCGGCCCGCGGGGCCUCCUGCUCGCUCUCCCGGGACCAUUUCUUUCGCCAGCGGAGGAGCAGGUGCCAGCGUAACAGCUCUCAAUAAACAAAGUACAUCCAAAAGGAAGACAUCUUCAAGUUCUUUACCCUGAAAAUGUGCAGCUAUAGUGAUGGACCCCCAGAAUUUCAAUGAAUAAGCCUACAAUGACUUUGAAGUUCCCAGAAGUGCUCAGUGACUCAGAAAAGCCUCAACUGUGCUUGUCUUAAAAAUUACCACCAAGGGGAAAACUUCACUGUGUCCCUUCCAGCACCCUCCUUGCUGCACCAUGCAUCCCCCACCAUCCCCGACUCUACCUGCUUUCUACCUGCUUCCACAAUGACCAGUGGAUUAAAAAAAAUAUCGUUGAA